CUGGAUCUCACUGGGCGGAGGAGGAAUCCUGGAGGGCGGGCACUGGGGGCUGCGGGUCAGGGACUCCCCGGACGUGCUUGCGACUCCGCCUGGGGAUGGGGACUACCUACGCUGUCCGCAAUUCAGCGCCACCGCGACCCUGAGGCGUAAGUCCUCCUCCCAAGCAGAUACCUUCUGCAACUCUAGGAAGAUAACCAGAUUCGAUGUGACCAGCUCUUCCCACUUCCCCCAUGAUGGGCUGUACUCUUUAGCCAUGAGCUAAACUAUACCCUUUCUUCCCAGAACCAGAGAGGAAUGAUUAGAGAUCUGCACAGCUCAGACAGAAGGAGAGAAAGGUGGAAACUCCACAUGCUGUCUGGCCUCAUAUCCUCAGGCUGCCUGGGGAUGAUCCUGCCCUGGUACACUGGCCUUGGAUGUACUGGCCCCUGGCUACCAUGAAACAGCAGCAAGUACCACCUCUGAGCACAUGCCCUAAAUGUCUACCUAUGGCCUGAUAAGUCACCCUGGCUGCUCGCCCACUACCCCUGAAACUCAUGCGCUAGGUCCCCAGCACCUCGGUAUAAUUCAUCCUUGUUCUACAGUCUCUGUCUGAGCCUGGUGUGGGGAGGGACUGUUGCUUGGCCUUUGUAAGUGGAGAGCUUGCACAUCUCACUGCUGCACACUGUUUGGUUAAAUGAGGAAGUGGGGGUGGGGAUGGCUGCUGGUUGGCUCUGUCAUUCCUAUCUUAACAUCCCAGUACAUU